AAUAUGCUAUCUUGUUAACCUGGAAAUUUUGAUAAUCCUUUAAAAUAUGCUAUCUUGUUAACCUGGAAAUUUUAAUCUUAGCAUCAAUUGAUAAUCCAUUCAGGAACUCCAACUAAUCAAGCAUCACUUGAUAUAAUCCAUUCAGGAACUCCAACCAACAAAACAUCACUUGAUAUAAUUUAUUCAGGAACUCCAACCAACCAAACAUCACUUGAUAUAAUCCAUUCAGGAACUCCAACCAACCAAAGAAAAUUUAAAAUAUGCUACUAGUUUUAUCUGGAAAUUAUGAUUAUUCAAUAAAUCAAUUAAUUUUUUUAAAGCAAAAUGCCCAAUAUAAAUUUAUAAAAUCUAAAUUUAAUA